rnacentral:rRNA from 1 species
GACCUCGGAUCAGGUAGGAAUACCCGCUGAACUUAAGCAUAUCAAUAAGCGGAGGAAAAGAAACCAACAGGGAUUGCCUCAGUAACGGCGAGUGAAGCGGCAACAGCUCAAAUUUGAAAUCUGGCUCCUUCGGGGUCCGAGUUGUAAUUUGCAGAGGAUGCGUCGGGUACGGGUCCCUACCGAGUUCCCUGGAACGGGACGCCAUAGAGGGUGAGAGCCCCGUCUGGUAGGAUACCCAGCCCAUGUGACGCUCCCUCGACGAGUCGAGUAGUUUGGGAAUGCUGCUCUAACGGGAGGUAUACUCCUUCCAAAGCUAAAUACCGGCUGGAGACCGAUAGCGCACAAGUAGAGUGAUCGAAAGAUGAAAAGCACUUUGAAAAGAGAGUCAAACAGCACGUGAAAUUGUUAAAAGGGAAGCACUCGCUACCAGACUUGGGUUCGGCGGUUCAACCGGGGCCACGCCCCGGGGCAUUCCGCCGGCUCAGGCCAGCAUCAGCUUUCCGUCGGGGGCAAAGACGUCGGGAAUGUGGCUCCCCCUCGGGGGAGUGUUAUAGCCCGGCGUGUCAUACCCUUCGGGGGGCUGAGGUACGCGCUUCUGCAAGGAUGCUGGCGUAAUGGUAGCUAGUGACCCGUCUUGA